ensembl:lncRNA
GUUUUUAAAUUAAUUGUUAUUUUAAGCCACGUGAUCAACUAUUUUUCCAGUUAAUUGUCUACAGGCUUCUAUCACUUCUAAGUGAUAAUGAUGAUACAAACACAUUUUAUAUCAUCAUUAUCAAUUAUAAUUGAGAAUAUAUAUCUCAUUGCCUCUCUCCAACCAUUCCCUGAUUAAAGUAUUGAAUGUAUUUUAUAAACCAGGUGAGUCCUAUGAGACAGAGGUAGAUAAUGUUGGCCUUGAUAUGUGGUAUUGGAUUUAAGAAUAAUAGCUGUAAUAUGCUCUUUUUAACAAUGCUGUUUGGCAACUGUUCUUUCUGGAUGGGAAGCUAAUGACAAGUACUCAUGUUAUACUGUCUGGCAUAAGGCUAUGAAAGGCACUAUACCAACAGAACACAAUAUUGAAAUGUUUUCUUAUGUGACUACAAACUUUCAUUCAUGAACCACUUUCACUCAUGGUUGUCAUAGAGUGGAUUCUCAACAAGUUUUAAUCUGUGUCAUCAUGAUAAUUCUGAAAGCAACUUAAAAACAACAGUAAUAAUGGAUGAUGUUGCCACUCCUCCUAAAUAAGCGCAUGUGCCUUCUAAUGAUGUAAAUAAAACUUAUAAAUUAUAUGGAUGGACUCUUUGGAAAAAUUUUGCCUGACCGUGUAGGCAGUACUCUUUCUUAGGACGAAAAAAAAAGCUGCAUUCACAUAGAAGAUAAGCUUCAGUGUCUAAUUUCAUCAGCAUUUAACAUGGGGCUCAUUUUGGUUUUCCCAAAGAAAGAGGAGACAGGAACUAAAAAUUUGAUCUUACAGUCUCUCUUUCUCUCUCUUCCUCCUUAGAUGUAUAUUAGUUCCCAUGGAAACUACAUUGGGAUGGCUUGAGAGUGACAUCUACAAAUGCAGUAUAUUCCAAGUUAAGAAGAAAAAGUUUGAGAAAAAAUAUAAAGGCUUUAAACCCCUUAUUACUUUAGUUCAACAAGGAAUCAAGAGUAGAGUUCUUCAAAGAAUUAAUUGAAGACACCCUGGGAAGAGGGUACUGAGGUUCUGAAGUUUAUCAUAAAUCAUUCAAUGCCUUUGGCAAAGCCUCGGUGGAACUUAUGAAGCUGAAUAUUAUAAUGUAAUUUAAGUUUUCACUAAGGACUUAAUUCUAAUUCUAAUGGGACUUUGACCCACGAAAGGAUUGCAGAACUGAAUGCCAAGAGACAGAUUCUGUUGAUCAUUAUAAUGUUUUGCUUCUACCAGAAAGGAGAGCUGCUGUUUUUGAACCCAAAUGAGAAACGUUUUCAAGGCAUCAUAUCUAUUCUUUUAUAUUGAUCAGGAGUAAACCAAGGAGAGGAUAUGAAAUCUAUGCCUCUUCUGGGAAAAGGAUAAAUGAUAGUACCUUUAUUUGUAUAGGACUGAACUUAGAAAUCUCUUCUGAAAUCUAUAUCAAGUGUUUCUAAAUGGUAUAGGCGUGUGCAUCAGUGAUGGCUCAGUAGAUCUAAACCUGUCUGAAAAUCAGAGCAAUUGGAAAAUGUUUGUGCUCACUCACCUUCUGACAAAGGAAACAAUAACUAACGCAGUAGGGAGCUGCAGCUAUCUUCUGACACAUUAUGUUUCCAGCCCCAAAAUGUCACAUGAAACCCACUGAAUGGAGAUGAAUGAAAACCAGCAGUGGUCCUGAAACACGCAAAAGGAAAAAAAGCUCCAGCUGCAAAAACGGCUGAGGUUCUUCAAAGCCCAACAAGCUGUUGACUCAGACCUUUGCAAAGUUGAGAGCAUGUAUUCAUUCUUUGGUAAGGCCAAGGGUCUUAUAAUUGACUAGGCGGGGAAACUCAAAUCUAAUUUGAGGUAUAACUGCAACAUGCAAAUUCUUUGCAAGAAGCCCUUAGAGGGAAAAGCUAUGGUAAACGUUAGAAUGAUUUUCUGUUUCUCUGUCAAUUGAAAGUUUAAGGACUCUGAAGCGUAUAAUGUUUGAAGACAAAGGGACCUAGGAGCUUCCAGAAUUCAAACUUAUUCUCCUAGGGCUGAUUCUCCAAAUUUAAAUUGUGUACCCUAUGGUGCUAACAAAACAAUCCUUUAUAAUUUGUGUGGGUUGAAGACAGCUGAUGAGUGAAGACGAGUUAUAAACUUGAUAGUAAUAUCCUCAGAGUUUCUUCUAUCACCAUUUUUGCAGUCAAUAUGAACUUUUUAAACCACAACCAUUUCUUAAUGAAUGAAGUUAGAAAUUU